AAAGAAGUAUGUGAAGAGUAUGGAGAUAUGGUGACAGCUGGAGAACUGGAUAACAAUGAAAUGAUGAUUAAGAGUUGUCCCAGCUCAUCUGAAAAAAGACAUGCAAUUAUUAAGUAUACUCCAAAGCCAGUUCCACCGAAAAUGCCAAUAAGAACUGUUACGCCGGAUACAGAUGUUCCACAAAAAGCAAAAAGGAACAAUUCAAGUCAAAAAAUUUCAUCUGGUUAUACUCAAACCUCUUCUAUACAUGGUGGUUAUUCUGUACUUACUGCUUUAUCAACAGCUCACAUACUAAAGCCAUUUCUUUCAACUACUACCUCUUCUACAUGAGAUGAUUUUUCUAUACGCAAACCAAUAUUAAACAGUCAGACUACUACUAGUAUGUUAGAAAGCUCAUUCACAAAUGUUUCCACCAAUUCACCUGUAGUUAUUUCUCAAUCUUAUGUUAAUUACAAUAGAAGAGAUUCUGCUUGUGCUCGGGACGAGUUAAUUAGCUCAAAAAAUCUCGAAGAUAAUGGAUUUCAACAUAAAGUAUUACGGAGGUUGGCCCAAAUAACCUUGCAAAUGAGUGAAAUAUCCAAAAAGUUAGAUGCAGUUAAUGGCACCAGAAUGAAAGAUGUUGAAGGAGAGAUAUUAAUACAAUUUGAUGAUAUAGACGCUUUAUAUGAGUUCGAUCGAAAACUUGGAGCUGACAAAAGGGUUUUUAAAAAGUUUCAAUGCUGAUAAAACUGAAUUUUUCUAAAAAAAGAGUAUUUCCAGCCUUCUAACCGAAUAUUAGAGACUUUUACAAAAGCACUCUCACAAAAUAAUGCUUUUAUAAACAAUUUAAAAGUCUUUCAAAUCGUUAGUCAUUUUCUAAAGGCGAAAAAAAAGAAUCAUCAAUCUUCAUACCAUUUAAUAAAGCUAUUUUAAUAAAA
rnacentral:misc_RNA from 1 species